ACUACUAAAGACUUAAUCAAACUUGAUGCGUGCUAAACCAGAGACCUCAAUGUCACUCACUCACUGUACGGUUUAUUGUCUGUUGUUGCCUGUCAGACAAACUUUAGACUUGUGAUAUGUGACAUAAGAUUGACCUAAGUAUGUUUCCUCCUGUGCUUGCUCACCUGGACAGUUGAGAGCCAGGCUGGGUUUGUCAGCUUUGAGGAUGUGGAGUUCACCUCCACUACAACACACAGCGCUUUCCAACUUGAGCAGAUAUCAGAAUCCCAGGAACUAGAAACUGUGGAACAAGGCACAUUUGAACAUGAGGAAGAAUCCACAUCAGAGUCAGGGGGAACAGGUUCAACGAUUGAACAGGAAACAAGUGA